rnacentral:rRNA from 1 species
UACGUAGGGUGCGAGCGUUGUCCGGAAUUAUUGGGCGUAAAGAGCUCGUAGGCGGUGUGUCACGUCGGCCGUGAAAACCUGCAGCUUAACUGUGGGCGUGCGGUCGAUACGGGCAUCACUGGAGUUCGGCAGGGGAGACUGGAAUUCCUGGUGUAGCGGUGAAAUGCGCAGAUAUCAGGAGGAACACCGAUGGCGAAGGCAGGUCUCUGGGCAGUUACUGACGCUGAGGAGCGAAAGCAUGGGGAGCGAACAGG